GACGAACGCUGGCGGCGUGCCUAAUACAUGCAAGUCGAGCGGACUUGAAGGAGUGCUUGCACUCCUGAGAGUUAGCGGCGGACGGGUGAGUAACACGUAGGCAACCUGCCCUCAAGACUGGGAUAACUACCGGAAACGGUAGCUAAUACCGGAUAAUUUAUUACAUAGCAUUAUGUGAUAAUGAAAGACGGAGCAAUCUGUCACUUGGGGAUGGGCCUGCGGCGCAUUAGCUAGUUGGUGGGGUAACGGCCCACCAAGGCGACGAUGCGUAGCCGACCUGAGAGGGUGAACGGCCACACUGGGACUGAGACACGGCCCAGACUCCUACGGGAGGCAGCAGUAGGGAAUCUUCCGCAAUGGGCGAAAGCCUGACGGAGCAACGCCGCGUGAGUGAUGAAGGUUUUCGGAUCGUAAAGCUCUGUUGCCAAGGAAGAACGUCUCAUAGAGUAACUGCUAUGAGAGUGACGGUACUUGAGAAGAAAGCCCCGGCUAACUACGU
rnacentral:rRNA from 1 species